rnacentral:tRNA from 1 species
GGGCCGCUAGCUCAACUGGCAGAGCAGAUCCCUCUUAAGGAUAAGGUUCCGGGUUCGACCCCCGGGCGGCCCACCA